CCACCUGAAAGUGAAACAGAUUCUGGGUUAGCUUGGCAAUAAAGAAAAAGCCCCCGCGGGCAGGCAGCACUCAGGACACUCAAGCCUGUCGCAGUGAGCUGCACAAUAGACUGCUUUUUCUGCAUGUGUCCACCGUGCGGCCUCAGGUGCUGCAGCUGUCACACUGAAGGACCAACUGGACCAGCCCCAAGGUCCUUUCCAGGAUUAAUGACAGGCCUAGGUCAGGCCUCCAGCCCUCCUAUCCAUGCUACCUCUGCUCUCCUCUGCCUUGGGCCUCUAGUAUCCUAACCAAGGGCCAGGACUGCCUGGAUGCCUUUUACCCUUCCUAAGCAAGGCCACACUCACACUCAUUCACGGACACCUGCUAGGUCCUUCAGCCCUUACGCUCUAAUUUGGACCCUCGGGUGUGCCAUCCUGGCUAGGGAGGCUGUCUUCACUCCCAGCAUUUUGUGAACAAGACUUUCUUUGUUUCUGUGUUGAGAGCAGAAAAUUCAUGAUUUCCUGAGUAUAUAAGUUAAGACAGGAGGGAGACGCUUGCCCUUGACAAUCCAGUUCCAAUGACCUUGAACUUCACAGUUCUAUGGCCUCUGGAAGUUGAAAACCGCCUUUCCCAAAGACUUAGUGCUAAUUCUCAAGGGUCUCAGCUUCCUCACCCUGUAGAUCCUUCCUUGCAUCUAUCCCAACUUGAAAUUCAAUUCCUCUUUUAAAUUCAGCAGCAAUGAUUUGCUCUUGGCAAGCAUUUGGUCUUCAAGGAAGACUGGGGUGCAGCAUGUCCCAGGAGGGUCCUCUAUACCCAGCACAACCUUGCACCGUUUUGCUAGUUCUCACCCUUUUUUCCCUCUGCCUCUCUCCAGUGAGAAAAAGUUCCUUUCGCUGUUUACUGCCUUGAAGUUCUGCAAUUACUGCUUAGAGAUGUCUUUGGAGUAUAACUGGCUAGGCAGAUUAAAAUAUUUCUUCCAGAUUUAGUGCUCUUUUUACAAGGAUUUCUGGGGAGUAUGCUUCCCCCUAUAUUUUAUAAUCCCCAUGACAACGUAUGGACAACACUUGAAAAAUGACGUUUUCUCCCACCCACUACUUCCUGGGUGCGGCAGCACAGGACCUGCAGCUUUCAUUUCGGAUCAGAAACCCCAGCAUCUGUUGGGGAUUCUGAGCUUUGCAGUACUUGCGUCUCCUGUAUGUUUACCCCAGUCAGUAACUAAGUCAUACACUUAAAAUACUAGAUGUCAAAAGCCAGGCCAAUCAAAGCCUGGCGUAGCAGAGGUGACUCAGAUGAAGCUAAGUAGGCAAGACCUUGGUAUCUGGCUUUCCAAAUAUGAUCCCCUCUGGCUAUAAUGUGACAGUCACCUAGUCCGUAAUAUUCCAACCAUAUUAUGGAAUGGUUGUUCUUAAGGUAGGGUGAGGAUGGUAUUAGCACGUGUCAGCUCAGGGAUUCCUGCCUAGAAGUUCUCAAACCUGUUUCCAUACAAUACAAAAAGAUGACGAGGAUAACCUAGGCAGCUCCUUAAACAAGGCAGAGCCUACCGACAUGCCCAGUGGCUGAAUGACAUUUAAAGGGAUAAUAAAAGUUCUUGCAAAACAGAACAAAGCCUACCCUUGAAUAGUCUAUCCAAACCUUUUAAGUAACUGACGACACCAUGUCUCAAAGAUUCAAAAACCCUUAAACAGAGUCAGUUAAAAGUAGGGUAUCCUGUGCUGAUGAAGCCCCAAUCAAAGAGAAAUGUGGGCAAACUCAUUUUUAUCCUAAGACGUGCAACAGAAGGGCGGCCAAGUCCCUGCCUGGCUUCUAUUCAUGCCCCUCAAGGAGGAAGGUGAGACCGCAGGGGAGACAGGGCCUGACGUGUAAAUUCAGGCAAGGGGAGGAGGUGGGCCUCAUCAGGUAGAGAGCUCUGAGGGAGCUGAGGGAAGUAAGGGAGGAGGCCAUCCUUCACAAUGGAAACCUGAGCCCUAGAUAACCAAAGGAAGCACAAAGGAGACCAGGAGGCAGGAAAGGCAGCUUGAGGGCAUCAGGGAUGCUGUGCCCAUAGGAAACUUUCAGCUUUUAGAACCUGGAGGUUUAUCAAAAUAUGAAGUACUUCUUCUUCCUCAAAUUGAAUGUUUUCCAGAAGACCUUGGAAGCCUCAUUACACAUUCUAUUCAACCCAGAAAUAAUGUUUACUCAUUGUAUCUAUUUUAAUUCUCACUCCCUUGGAGCUCUAAGCCCUGACUACAUUAUGACUCCACGGACCCUAGGCACUUUUGCCUUUGUAGGCCUCUUCUCCAUUAAAAAAAAAAUUAUAUUCAUGAUUGCAUUGGUACAAAGACAAAUAUAUUCUUUGACCCUAAAAGGUCAUGUUUUCUUCAGAUUUUAAAAGAAAUUUAAAUAUUUUCAUGGGUCCGUAAAAGUACCAUGAGCCCAUGACACUGUGCUAUGGUGCCUAAUGGAUAUCAGCCACCAUACUACCCAUUCACACAUGCAAUUCAGCAAAUAUUUUCGGAGCACCUGCCAUGCGUCAGGCAUUUUGAAGGCAAUGAACAAAACAUAGUCCCCACCUUCAUGGAGCUUAGCUUUAGAAGCAUAAGACAGACAAUAAACAAAUAAACCAGUGAAUACAUAAUACUUCAGAUGGUGCUAAGGAAUACAAGAAAAGUAAAUCAAGGGAAAGGAGAUAUGAAAUGAAAGGAUGGGACUGAACCUUUAUAUGGGAUGAUAAGUAAAGAUCUUGCAGACAUGUUGAUCAGCUGCCACCUGAGCAGAGACCUGCAGGAAGGGAGAGAUGGAGCCACGUGGACACCUGGGGAUGAGCCUUUUGGGCCAAGGGAAAAGUCAGUGCAGGUGCCCAGUGGCAGCAGCAUGCUGGUGUGUGAAGAGCAGCAAGGAGGAUGGCGUGGCAUGAGCCACGGAGAAAGGCAGGCCAGAAGAUCAGAGAGGCAGCAAAGGCCUCAGUCCCUUCCUCUGAUGAGAAAUGGGCUGCCGGGGAAGUUCUGGGAGGAGAGAGCCACAGCUUUCCUUGCCCUAACAUGGCACCCAGUCCAUGCAUUUAUCUGGUAGCUUUCUCCUUGAGUUUCCAUCCUGUAAUAGGCAUCACACCUCACUUCCUUAUGGACCUCCAUCUCUAAAGAGGUAAGUUCUUGUCUUCCCAUUACAGUGGCUCAAACAUCUGACACUAUCUCCCAUUGGAGACAAGCAGACCAGUAGGACUCCUGCUGGCUUUUUUUGGCUGCUUCCUAUGAAAACCUGACUGGAGCCUAUUUCUCCCAUCUCUACUUCUAUGAAGAGAAAUUCAUGGAAGUCUUCUAUUCCAAAGGAUAUUUGUUUGAUAGCACUCAGGAAUUUUGAAAAAGAAGAGGGCACUGAAGAAUAUCUGCUGUCUCUAUUGAGGAAGACCUUGUGCUCUGCCUUUCCUGCUAACCCCUCAGCAAAAAUGAGGAAAUGAACAUGGCCCCUGAGAAGGCUCAAGUUGGAUCUCAAAGUAUCCUAGAGUCUUUGUCUUUGCUGGAAUUUUAUUGGUGAGUGAGGCAUAUGCAUCCCAUAACAUUAAACAGUCACAGAGGCCACUGAAAAAGUUAGAAAAGUCACAUGAUGGAAGAUCCGGCACCAGGAAUGUUUGGGUCUUAAUAUUUCCUGUAUUAACAGUAUUCCUGGAGCUUGCUGGUUAAAGAGAACAAUAAUAGAAAAAAGUCUAUUUUUUCAUAGUAAAUAUAUAUUUGUUCAAUUUUAAUGCAAUACUUUCAAAACAUCUGAUGCCCACUAAAUAAAGAAAUGACUGAGGGAGACUGAUUACAAACAUGGCCUUCAUUAUCCACUCAUGCCUGAUUCUGUAAUCUUUGAAAUAUGAUUUUACAGUUUCUCUCAUCAAGAGGCGAAGUCUAUUUCCCCAUCCUUGUGACUUGCUUUGGCCAAGAGGAUGUGGUAGGAAGUGAUACUUCUUAGAUUUCCAAGUUACUUCCUAGUAAUACUUCCAAGACUAAGCCUCAAGAGACUUUAUUUAUAUUUCUGUCUUCUCUUUUGGAUCUCUGCUGCUGGCAUGGAAACAAGGCCUGGAUGCCCUGCUGGAUACCAAGAGACCAUGUGGAUAGAGGGCUUCUGUCUGUGAGUACCUGGCCCCUGCUCUCAGUUUUGAAUGAUCAUCCUGCUUGGUGCCCCAGGUCCCCUUCUGGACCAGAUCCCUGGCUGAUUUCCCGCUUGACGAUUGGAGUUGUUCCUGUGCCCUGUCAUGCCCUGGACUGUUCUCCUGAGCAGGACUGAAGUCUUGCUCAGCCCCUAGAUGAGGAAACUGAGACUAAGAAAUCGUCUGCUUGAGGCUGAGGGGCUGGGGUUCAAACUCAGAUCAGCUGAAUCCCAAAGGCCAUGUGCUUUUCACUUUGCAACACUGUGGCUACCAAGGACGUAUGCUCUUUUAUUAGGGAAAAAGAAGGAGCAUCUCCCACAGCCUCAUCUUGAACUCAAGUUUAGUUGUCUAAUGGUCUAGUCUGAGCGCAUGUGAGGCCUUUACAGAACAAGGUUCCAGCCCUACUUGCAUAGUUCAUGAAGAUAUUUACUCAAGGACACCUCCCUCCCUAGGAAGUGCCAGCUGCAGCCAUCCUAGUUUCACGUCUUGACAUGUAUCUCUCUUCCUCAAGUAAGUUUCUUGAGGCA